UGGCGGCGUGGAUAAGACAUGCAAGUCGAACGAGAGAAUUGCUAGCUUGCUAAUAAUUCUCUAGUGGCGCACGGGUGAGUAACACGUGAGUAACCUGCCCCCGAGAGCGGGAUAGCCCUGGGAAACUGGGAUUAAUACCGCAUAGUAUCGAAAGAUUAAAGCAGCAAUGCGCUUGGGGAUGGGCUCGCGGCCUAUUAGUUAGUUGGUGAGGUAACGGCUCACCAAGGCGAUGACGGGUAGCCGGUCUGAGAGGAUGUCCGGCCACACUGGAACUGAGACACGGUCCAGACACCUACGGGUGGCAGCAGUCGAGAAUCAUUCGCAAUGGGGGAAACCCUGAUGGUGCGACGCCGCGUGGGGGAAUGAAGGUCUUCGGAUUGUAAACCCCUGUCAUGUGGGAGCAAAUUAAAAAGAUAGUACCACAAGAGGAAGAGACGGCUAACUCUGUGCCAGCAGCCGCGGUAAUACAGAGGUCUCAAGCGUUGUUCGGAAUCACUGGGCGUAAAGCGUGCGUAGGCUGUUUCGUAAGUCGUGUGUGAAAGGCGCGGGCUCAACCCGCGGACGGCACAUGAUACUGCGAGACUAGAGUAAUGGAGGGGGAACCGGAAUUCACGGUGUAGCA
rnacentral:rRNA from 1 species